AACGAACGCUGGCGGCAGGCUUAACACAUGCAAGUCGAACGCCCCGCAAGGGGAGUGGCAGACGGGUGAGUAACGCGUGGGAACGUGCCCUUCGCUUCGGAAUAGCCCCGGGAAACUGGGAGUAAUACCGGAUACGCCGUAUUGGGAAAGAUUUAUCGGCGAAGGAUCGGCCCGCGUUGGAUUAGCUAGUUGGCGGUGUAAUGGACCACCAAGGCUACGAUCCAUAGCUGGUCUGAGAGGAUGAUCAGCCACACUGGGACUGAGACACGGCCCAGACUCCUACGGGAGGCAGCAGUGGGGAAUCUUGGACAAUGGGCGCAAGCCCGAUCCAGCCAUGCCGCGUGAGUGAAGAAGGCCUUAGGGUUGUAAAACUCUUUCGCCGGAGAAGAUAAUGACGGUAUCCGGAGAAGAAGCCCCGGCUAACUUCGUGCCAGCAGCCGCGGUAAGAC
rnacentral:rRNA from 1 species